rnacentral:rRNA from 1 species
CCGCUCGCCGGAAGACCAAGGGUUCCUGUCCAACGUUAAUCGGGGCAGGGUGAGUCGACCCCUAAGGCGAGGCCGAAAGGCGUAGUCGAUGGGAAACGGGUUAAUAUUCCCGUACUUGGUGUUACUGCGAAGGGGGGACGGAGAAGGCUAUGUUGGCCGGGCGACGGUUGUCCCGGUUUAAGCGUGUAGGUGUGUGUUCCAGGUAAAUCCGGUUCACUUUAACACUGAGGCGUGACGACGAGGCACUACGGUGCUGAAGCAACAAAUGCCCUGCUUCCAGGAAAAGCCUCUAAGCAUCAGGUAACAUCAAAUCGUACCCCAAACCGACACAGGUGGUCAGGUAGAGAAUACCAAGGCGCUUGAGAGAACUCGGGUGAAGGAACUAGGCAAAAUGGUGCCGUAACUUCGGGAGAAGGCACGCUGACACGUAGGUGAAGUGAUUUACUCACGGAGCUGAAGUCAGUCGAAGAUACCAGCUGGCUGCAACUGUUUAUUAAAAACACAGCACUGUGCAAACACGAAAGUGGACGUAUACGGUGUGACGCCUGCCCGGUGCCGGAAGGUUAAUUGAUGGGGUCAGCGCAAGCGAAGCUCCUGAUCGAAGCCCCGGUAAACGGCGGCCGUAACUAUAACGGUCCUAAGGUAGCGAAAUUCCUUGUCGGGUAAGUUCCGACCUGCACGAAUGGCGUAAUGAUGGCCAGGCUGUCUCCACCCGAGACUCAGUGAAAUUGAACUCGCUGUGAAGAUGCAGUGUACCCGCGGCAAGACGGAAAGACCCCGUGAACCUUUACUAUAGCUUGACACUGAACAUUGAGCCUUGAUGUGUAGGAUAGGUGGGAGGCUUUGAAGYGUGGACGCCAGUCUGCRUGGAGCCGACCUUGAAAUACCACCCUUUAAUGUUUGAUGUUCUAACGUGGACCCGURAUCCGGGUUGCGGACAGUGUCUGGUGGGUAGUUUGACUGGGGCGGUCUCCUCCUAAAGAGUAACGGAGGAGCACGAAGGUUGGCUAAUCCUGGUCGGACAUCAGGAGGUUAGUGCAAUGGCAUAAGCCAGCUUGACUGCGAGCGUGACGGCGCGAGCAGGUGCGAAAGCAGGUCAUAGUGAUCCGGUGGUUCUGAAUGGAAGGGCCAUCGCUCAACGGAUAAAAGGUACUCCGGGGAUAACAGGCUGAUACCGCCCAAGAGUUCAUAUCGACGGCGGUGUUUGGCACCUCGAUGUCGGCUCAUCACAUCCUGGGGCUGAAGUAGGUCCCAAGGGUAUGGCUGUUCGCCAUUUAAAGUGGUACGCGAGCUGGGUUUAGAACGUCGUGAGACAGUUCGGUCCCUAUCUGCCGUGGGCGCUGGAGAACUGAGGGGGGCUGCUCCUAGUACGAGAGGACCGGAGUGGACGCAUCACUGGUGUUCGGGUUGUCAUGCCAAUGGCACUGCCCGGUAGCUAAAUGCGGAAGAGAUAAGUGCUGAAAGCAUCUAAGCACGAAACUUGCCCCGAGAUGAGUUCUCCCUGAGACUUAGAGUCUCCUGAAGGAACGUUGAAGACGACGACGUUGAUAGGCCGGGUGUGUAAGCGCAGCGAUGCGUUGAGCUAACCGGUACUAAUGAACCGUGAGGCUUAACCUUACAACGCCGAAG